rnacentral:rRNA from 1 species
UACGGAGGGUGCAAGCGUUAUCCGGAUUUACUGGGUUUAAAGGGUGUGUAGGCGGACUUUUAAGUCAGGGGUGAAAUCCCGAGGCUCAACCUCGGAACUGCCUUUGAUACUAUUGGUCUUGAAUCUUGUUGAGGUGGGCGGAACGGGUCAUGUAGCGGUGAAAUGCAUAGAUAUGACCCGGAACACCGAUUGCGAAGGCAGCCCCGCUAAGCAAGCAUUGACGC